rnacentral:tRNA from 1 species
UCCAGGGUAGCCUAGUGGUCAUGGCAUCUGCCCGGUAAGCGGAAGGUCGUGGGUUCGAUACCCAUCCUUUGACA